GGCCUGAUGAGCUGGAAGUUAAGUCUUCUACCUUUCUAAAUCCAAUCUGCAGUUAUGUUAAAUUUGGUUUUUAAGCAAUUAUGUUGAAUAUCAGACCUUACUUAUAAAAAAAGCCAGAGCAAAAAAAACAUUUUUCAACAUCAA